rnacentral:rRNA from 1 species
CCUGACCUGCAUUCGAUACGGUCGAGCUAGAGUGUGGUAGGGGAGACUGGAAUUCCUGGUGUAGCGGUGGAAUGCGCAGAUAUCAGGAGGAACACCGAUGGCGAAGGCAGGUCUCUGGGCCAUUACUGACACUGAGGAGCGAAAGCGUGGGGAGCGAACAGGAUUAGAUACCCUGGUAGUCCACGCCGUAAACGGUGGGCGCUAGUUGUGCGAACCUUCCACGGUUUGUGCGACGCAGCUAACGCAUUAAGCGCCCCGCCUGGGGAGUACGAUCGCAAGAUUAAAACUCAAAGGAAUUGACGGGGCCCCGCACAAGCAGCGGAGCAUGCGGCUUAAUUCGACGCAACGCGAAGAACCUUACCAAGGCUUGACAUAUACAGGAAUACGGCAGAGAUGUCGUAGCCGCAAGGUCUGUAUACAGGUGGUGCAUGGUUGUCGUCAGCUCGUGUCGUGAGAUGUUGGGUUAAGUCCCGCAACGAGCGCAACCCUCGUUCUGUGUUGCCAGCAUUUAGUUGGGGACUCACAGGAGACUGCCGGGGUUAACUCGGAGGAAGGUGGGGAUGACGUCAAAUCAUCAUGCCCCUUAUGUCUUGGGCUGCACGCAUGCUACAAUGGCUGGUACAAACGGCUGCAAUACCGCAAGGUGGAGCGAAUCCGAGAAAGCCAGUCUCAGUUCGGAUUGGGGUCUGCAACUCGACCCCAUGAAGUCGGAGUUGCUAGUAAUCGUAGAUCAGCAACGCUACGGUGAAUACGUUCCCGGGGCUUGUACACACCGCCCGUCACGUCACGAAAGUCGGUAACACCCAAAGUCAGUGGCCCAACCGCAAGGAG